rnacentral:rRNA from 1 species
GGCUCUUUGCCUAUAUAAGUAUAAAGAGUCGAGCCUGCCCAGUGAGUUUUUUAACGGCCGCGGUACUCUGACCGUGCAAAGGUAGCAUAAUCAUUUGCCUUAUAAUUGAAGGCUAGUAUGAAUGGUUUGACGAGAGCAGCACUGUCUCCUUUUUAUUUUCAAGAACUUAACUUUUAGGUGAAGAGGCCUAAAUUUUAUUGAAGGACAAGAAGACCCUGUCGAGCUUAAAAGACGUUAUAGAGGCUUAAUAUACUUUUAAAUAAAUUUUCUGUUAAGCUUUUUAGUUGGGGCGACUAAGGAACAAAAAAAGCUUCUUUCUAAUAAUAAACAAUCACGUUUAGAUCCGAUAGUAGGCGAUUAAAGGAAUUAGUUACCGCAGGGAUAACAGCAUAAUCUCUCUUGAGAGACCUAAUCGAAAGAGGGGGUUGUGACCUCGAUGUUGGACUAGAAUAUCCUAAAGAUGCAGAAGUCUUCGAGGGUUGGUCUGUUCGACCAUUAAAAUUCU